rnacentral:rRNA from 1 species
CCCAUAACGAGCGCAACCCCUAUUGUUAGUUGCCAUCGGGUCAUGCUGGGGACUCUAACAAAACUGCCCGCGUAAGCGUGGAGGAAGGUGGGGAUGACGUCAAAUCAGCACGGCCCUUACGUCCAGGGCUACACACGUGCUACAAUGGCCGGUACAGAGGGCAGCCACUUGGUGACAAGGAGCAAAUCUCAAAAGCCGGUCUCAGUUCGGAUCGGAGUCUGCAACUCGACUCCGUGAAGUUGGAUUCGCUAGUAAUCGUAGAUCAGCAAUGCUACGGUGAAUACGUUCCCGGGCCUU